AAUCAAAGUAGUACCUGCCAAAGAUCAUGAAGCUCCAGAGUCUGACCACCCUCCUGAAGCAGUGGAGGUAAUAUCAACUUACGCUUGUUCCCCAUCUCCCAUCUCAGUACAUUUUUGGCAUCAUCCACCACAUAAUAACUGUACUCGCAGCAGAAGCGGCACGGCACUGCAACAGUUCCAGUCCAUAUGAGCUCAUUACCUUGAUGAAAAGGGCUCAGCAACAACCCUUUCUUAACGUUCCAUGAACCGAGCGUUGGUUCGGAGCCGCAUACUACCAGUCUUUGGCCCCAUUCCGUGAAAU
rnacentral:lncRNA from 1 species